UGCAGUCGAGGGGUAAGGAAGCUUGCUUCCUAGAGACCGGCGCACGGGUGCGUAACGCGUAUGCAAUCUACCUUGUACAGGGGGAUAGCCCAGAGAAAUUUGGAUUAAUACCCCAUAGUAUUAUUGAAUGGCAUCAUUUAAUUAUUAAAGUUCCAACGGUACAAGAUGAGCAUGCGUCCUAUUAGCUAGUUGGUGUGGUAACGGCACACCAAGGCUACGAUAGGUAGGGGUCCUGAGAGGGAGAUCCCCCACACUGGUACUGAGACACGGACCAGACUCCUACGGGAGGCAGCAGUGAGGAAUAUUGGACAAUGGGCGCAAGCCUGAUCCAGCCAUGCCGCGUGCAGGAAGAAGCAUCUAUGGUGUGUAAACUGCUUUUGUACGGGAAGAAACACUGCUACGUGUAGCAGCUUGACGGUACCGUAAGAAUAAGGAUCGGCUAACUCCGUGCCAGCAGCCGCGGUAAUACGGAGGAUCCAAGCGUUAUCCGGAAUCAUUGGGUUUAAAGGGUCCGUAGGCGGUCUAAUAAGUCAGUGGUGAAAGCCCAUCGCUCAACGAUGGAACGGCCAUUGAUACUGUUAGACUUGAAUUAUUGGGAAGUAACUAGAAUAUGUAGUGUAGCGGUGAAAUGCUUAGAUAUUACAUGGAAUACCAAUUGCGAAGGCAGGUUACUAUCAAUAUAUUGACGCUGAUGGACGAAAGCGUGGGGAGCGAACAGGAUUAGAUACCCUGGUAGUCCACGCCGUAAACGAUGGAUACUAGCUGUUCGGAGCAAUCUGAGUGGCUAAGCGAAAGUGAUAAGUAUCCCACCUGGGGAGUAC
rnacentral:rRNA from 1 species